AGCAGCCGCGGUAAUUCCAGCUCCAAUAGCGUAUAUUAAAGUUGCUGCAGUUAAAAGCUCGUAGUUGAAUUUCGGGACUAAUAUGUCGGUCGUGCCUCGGUACGUACUGGUUUAUUGGUUUCUCCUUUCUGAAGAACCAUGAUGUCAUUUAUUUGGUGUCGUGGGGAAUCAGGACUGUUACUUUGAAAAAUUAGAGUGUUUAAAGCAGGCUCACGCUUGAAUACAUUAGCAUGGAAUAAUGAAAUAGGACGUUUGAUUCUAUUUUGUCGGUUUCUAGGAUCGACGUAAUGAUUAAUAGGGAUAGUUGGGGGCAUUAGUAUUCAAUUGUCAGAGGUGAAAUUCUUGGAUUUAUUGAAGACUAACUACUGCGAAAGCAUUUGCCAAGGAUGUUUUCAUUAAUCAAGAACGAAAGUUAGGGAUCGAAGACGAUCAGAUACCGUCGUAGUCUUAACCAUAAACUAUGCCGACUAGGGAUCGGAUGAUGUUAAUUUUUAAUGUACUCAUUCGGCGCCUUACGGGU
rnacentral:misc_RNA from 1 species